GGCCGCGAAUUCGCCCUUAGAGUUUGAUCCUGGCUCAGAACGAAUGUAGGCGGCGUGGAUGAGGCAUGCAAGUCGAGCGUGAAAGUCCUCGGGACGAGUAAAGCGGCGGACGGGUGAGUAACACGUAACCAAGCUGCCCUCGAGACCGGGAUAACCGAGGGAAACCUCGGCUAAGACCGGAUGGUCUUGUCGGGACGUCAUGUCCUGGCGAGUAAAUGGGGGGGAUCCUACGGGACCUCCUGCUCGAGGAGGCGGUUGCGGCCUAUCAGCUAGUUGGCGGGGUAACGGCCCACCAAGGCGACGACGGGUAGCCGGCCUGAGAGGGUGGUCGGCCACAUCGGGACUGAGACACUGCCCGGACUCCUACGGGAGGCUGCAGUCGAGAAUCUUCCGCAAUGGGCGCAAGCCUGACGGAGCGACGCCGCGUGGAGGACGAAGGCCUUCGGGUUGUAAACUCCUGUCACGGGUUACGAAUGCGUAGGCGCGAACAGUGUCUGCGUUGACGUCAGCCCGAGAGGAAGCACUGGCUAACUCUGUGCCAGCAGCCGCGGUAAUACAGAGAGUGCGAACGUUGUUCGGAAUCACUGGGCAUAAAGCGCGCGUAGGCGGCCCGGCAAGUGCGGAGUGAAAUCCCACGGCUCACCCGUGGAACUGCUUCGUAUACUGCUGGGCUGGAGGAUGGUAGAGGAGAGCGGAACUCCUGGUGGAGCGGUGAAAUGCGUAGAUAUCAGGAGGAACACCGGUGGCGAAGGCGGCUCUCUGGUCCAUUUCUGACGCUGAGGCGCGAAAGCUAGGGGAGC
rnacentral:rRNA from 1 species